UGUCAACAUGAAUGAUGACCCUCUGGAAGCCCUUACCUUCCCUAGACGUCAACUCACCAUUCAUAGACAGCCCUGAGGUGAUACAAAUAUCCACCCCAACAACCAGGUGAGUCUGCAUGGAUAAGGAUCAACAGGUGAAAAGUCUGAACAUGGCGCCGCCCUACCAGAUGCAGAGUCCUGCAGCAGUUUGACAGAAUGGCCUGCUGGGAGGUCAAAGCAGAGCGGCAGAGACUGGCCCUCGGCAGCCAUCAAGAACCUCACAGGCUUCCGUACUACGCAGAGACAAA